GCGGGAGUAGCUCAGUUGGUAGAGCGUCAGCCUUCCAAGCUGAAUGUACGCCAGUUCGACCCUGGUUCUACCCG
rnacentral:tRNA from 1 species